ensembl:lncRNA
GCUUUCGGGCCCAGGAUGGAGGAGGACCAGGCACAGUUAGGGCUGCUUUGGGGCCCAGGAUGGAAGGCGGCCUGGCAUAGUUGAGGCCUCGUCUGGGCCCAGACAAAAGAAGGCCCAGGCACAGCCAGGGCUUUGGGGCCCAGGAUGGAAGAGAACCAGGCUCACUUGGGGCUGCUUUUGGGGCUCAGGCUGGAGGGGGGCCUGGCACAUUUGGAGCUGCUUUGAGGCCUUGGCUGGAGAUGGGCCUUGCACAGUUGGGGUGGCUUUGGGGCUUGGGCUGGAGUGGGGCCUGGCACAGAUGGGGCAGAUUUGGGGCCCGGGCUGGACCAGGCACAGUUGAGGCCUCGUCUGGGCCCAGACAAAAGAAGGCCCAGGCACAGCCAGGGCUUUGGGGCCCAGGAUGGAAGAGAACCAGGCUCACUUGGGGCUGCUUUUGGGGCUCAGGCUGGAGGGGGGCCUGGCACAUUUGGAGCUGCUUUGAGGCCUUGGCUGGAGAUGGGCCUUGCACAGUUGGGGUGGCUUUGGGGCUUGGGCUGGAGUGGGGCCUGGCACAGAUGGGGCAGAUUUGGGGCCCGGGCUGGACCAGGCACAGUUGGGGCUGCUUUGGGGCCCAGGAUGGAGGAGACCCAGGCACAGUUGGGGCUGCUUUGGGGCCCAGGCUGGUGGGAGGCCCGGCACAGCCAGAGCCUUGUGGCUGCACUCUCUCUGUACAGUUCAACCUUGAUCCAUAACCUAAAAUGGUAACUGUAGUGAAAGGCAGUAGCUGAUCCAGCUGCUUUCCUGUGUUUUAAUUUUCCUAUGAGUGGGGAAGGACUCAAGCUAGUAAACAAAGAGCCCUUUCUGAAGAACAGGACUCAGGAAGUAUUAGCACAGAGCAGAUCUGCCAGUAGAGAUUCUUCCCCUUAGACAGGCAGCCCUUAAACGAGGGUGGGGAGGGCUGGAGCCAGGCUCCACCCCUUUUUUGCCCAGGUG